rnacentral:rRNA from 1 species
GACGAACGCUGGCGGCGUGCUUAACACAUGCGAGUCGAACGGAAAGGCCCUGCUUGCAGGGUACUCGAGUGGCGAACGGGUGAGUAACACGUGGGUGAUCUGCCCUGCACUUCGGGAUAAGCCUGGGAAACUGGGUCUAAUACCGGAUAGGAGCCAUUUUUAGUGUGAUGGUUGGAAAGUUUUUUCGGUGUAGGAUGAGCUCGCGGCCUAUCAGCUUGUUGGUGGGGUAAUGGCCUACCAAGGCGGCGACGGGUAGCCGGCCUGAGAGGGUGGACGGCCACAUUGGGACUGAGAUACGGCCCAGACUCCUACGGGAGGCAGCAGGGGGGAAUAUUGCACAAUGGGCGCAAGCCUGAUGCAGCGACGCCGCGUGGGGGAUGACGGCCUUCGGGUUGUAAACUCCUUUCGCUAGGGACGAAGCUUUUUGUGACGGUACCUAGAUAAGAAGCACCGGCUAACUACGUG